UACGGAGGGUGCAAGCGUUAAUCGGAAUUACUGGGCGUAAAGCGUGCGUAGGCGGUUCGUUAAGUCUGUUGUGAAAGCCCCGGGCUCAACCUGGGAAUGGCAAUGGAUACUGGCGAGCUAGAGUGUGUCAGAGGAUGGUGGAAUUCCCGGUGUAGCGGUGAAAUGCGUAGAGAUCGGGAGGAACAUCAGUGGCGAAGGCGGCCAUCUGGGACAACACUGACGCUGAGGCACGAAAGCGUGGGGAGCAAACAGGAUAGAUACCGAGUAGU
rnacentral:rRNA from 1 species